ensembl:lincRNA
CUGUGCUGGUGACUAAUAAAGGCUCCUGACGUUUCUUGCCGAGUCUGGGAAGCCAGAAAUAAAAGCCACUUCCAGCUAGGUGUGCUCCAGCCUGAACAUGGACCAUUCACAGGAGGCACUGGUCCAGCCAUGCGGCACCUAUGGACAGGCACUGCUGUGCUUGGUGUCAGCUGCAGCCGUCCCAGGGCCUUUGAAUGACAGCCAAAGGUGUCUCCUCACCACCGGCAGAGCAAUCAUUCUCCAGACGUCAGGCAGACAUUUUCACAGCUCUCCCCACACUAGAGAUUUCUAGUUCUCCUGAAGACCCAGGGUAAGAGAUUGUGCUGUCACUGGACAGAACAAGAUAGAAACAGUCAAUACCCAUGAUGCUCAGAUGUGACAUUCUCCACUAGCAUCUCAAGAGUGCCAGGGAGCACAUGGGCAAGCAGCAGGGAGCGAUGACGACUGUGAUGGACCACACACUGCCACUGUCUCAGACACGGAGCCCGUCACCAACUUGCUCCUCCUCCAAGAUCAGUUCCUCCAGUGACCGUCUCUACCAAGAGAAUGAAGAGCGCUGGACCAGAUACCACAGGACAUUCCUGAUGCCUGAGACACAGUCCCUUUCUUCAAAAUACUAUCUAAGUGUAGGAAAGAGGAACAUGCAGAGAACACAUGGAGAAAAGCCACCAGAAAGUUCCAGGGAAGAUGUUAUGAAAGUCUGGGGAAGACAGAACUUAUUUCACUUGGUUAAGCAGACGAAAGCCAUGUGA